GAAACGAGCGACGCUAUCCUCCGGCGAGACACCGUCUUCGCCGUCCGUUGGCCCCUGAUGUUACCCCAAACCUGUUGUAUUCAGUGAGCUCGACCUCCGGAGAGACCCCAUCUUCGACACCGCCCUCCUGCUUGCCCUCCAAACGAGCGACGCUAUCGCCGUCCGUUGGCCCCUGAUGUUACCCAAAACCUGUUGUAUUCACUCGACCUCCGGAGAGACCCCGUCUUUUUCCGCCGCCCUCAGGUUCGACCUCCGCAGAGACCCCAUCUUCGCCG